rnacentral:rRNA from 1 species
GGAUUAGAUACCCUGGUAGUCCACGCCCUAAACGAUGCCAACUAGGUGUUGGGGAAGGAGACUUCCUUAGUACCGUAGCUAACGCGUGAAGUUGGCCGCCUGGGGAGUACGGUCGCAAGAUUAAAACUCAAAGGAAUUGACGGGGACCCGCACAAGCGGUGGAUGAUGUGGAUUAAUUCGAUGCAACGCGAAAAACCUUACCUACCCUUGACAUGCCAGGAACUUGCCAGAGAUGGCUUGGUGCUCGAAAGAGAGCCUGGACACAGGUGCUGCAUGGCUGUCGUCAGCUCGUGCUG